AAGAGGUCAAAGGAAGGAAAUAAGCAAAAGCUAGCGAAAUUGGAUGAAAUGACGAAAACGUAAGAGAUCCAAAGUUCGAGGAUUAAAAUGCAAUUAAUCAAAAGUCGUGUCGAAACUUGAAAUGAAGAUCCGAGAGUUCUAGAAGCCAAUUGGACAAAGUAAGGUGUCAAAGGGAUCAAAUUUAGUCAAGAUAUGAUCAUAAAUCAUUUUCCAACCAAAAAGUUUUGCGCCGGAGUUUUCGUCUCACAUUUAGACUCAUUUUUGACAUAGAAAACGAUCGAAUUGGAGAAUGAUUCCUGAAGAAAAAUUGUAGUCCUUCGAAUUAGCUUUCCAACGCAUCUUGAAUCACUUCAAUCGCAUAUCGAAGGGAAAAGUUAUAACAAAAAUACUGAAAACUGUUCAGUGCAACCGAAGUAGUCAUCAGCGCCUGGGCGCUAUCCAUCAGCGCCCAGGCGCCAUAAUGCUGAAAUUUGGACAGAAAGUCAGCGCCUAGGCGCCCAAAUCGCAGCGCCCAAGCGCCGCCGUGCGACAGAAAGGAGACCUAAAUAAGGAGGGGAGCCGCACACUAAAAAUCUAGGGGAUCAAGCCACGCGUUCUUGACAUAUUGGAGAGAAAAACAACAAGAAGAGAGAUGCAAGGGAGAAAUUUAAGAAGAUUAAAACCAACAAUUGAAGAUUGGAAGCACUCAUUGGAAGAGGAAGGAG
rnacentral:lncRNA from 1 species